CAUGGAGUCCUGAAAAACUCUAACGUUGUCUCUUUUGAAAAAUCUUAAAUCAAAACUGUCUAUGUCACCACAAAUUAAACCAUACUUUUAACUUCUAAGCAACUUAUUGUUGCAAUAGUGACUAAAGCUCCAUGAUACAUAAGAUUCAAGAUAAGAAAAAUACUAGAAGAUGUUUUUUUGUAGUUGGGGUUCAUGGGGUCCUGAAAAACUCUAACCUUGUCAACCUCCGAGAGGUCUUUUAUGAAUAGUAGAGCUAGGAUUGUUUUCUAGGUUUUAGUUCCACUAUGUUUAGUUUCACAUAAUGGAUUACAAAACAACAAACAAAUAUAUUAUCAGAUAAUCACAAGUAUUCACAAAAAUUAGUUCAAUAGAAUAGGUAUUAGACGCAUAAAAGACCUUCACAACUAUUUAAUGUAUUAAAACAUUGCAUAUACCAAAUUGCAUAACUUUAUUAGCACUGACAUUAAUCUUUGGCACCUGAAUAUAUCAUUAGAAAUCAUCAAUAUUUCAUUACUGGGAAGAGCAGAAUUUAACACAAUAGUCUUUCUUUUAUUAUCCCAAAUGCAAAAGGUUGACACUGAAGUAGCACCAAACCCAUAUAGAAGAAAUAUGGUUGUAAGAAAUAUAAGAUUAAAGAUACCUAAAUUUUUUUAUAGUGCUCUGGAUAUCCUUACACAGCUUGUAAAUCUUUCCACCAGCUUUGCAUAAAUUGCAGUGUCUCUUUUGGCUAAGGAGUUUUAGUACAUGGUUGUGGCUGCAGUACUAGUUGUCUUCGCUUCUGAGACCUGUGAAUUUUCCUAAUCUUUUUCAAUAGGGGCAUUAAAUGAGUUUGUUCGGAUAGAAUUUAUCUUCAAAAAACUAGAACAAGAAAAACAGAACACAUGAUUGAGUAUGCCCGGUGAAGGUUGUAAACCUAGCAUAUCGGCCUUUUUCUGUCACUCUGACCCGUGAACUCAUCCUUGUGUGACCUCGUGGAAGCAGAACUGGGGCCAACCUACGUGAUGCCUUUGGACAAUGCCACUGUGACAAAGCGAAUUGAGUGGAUAGAGAACUAAAGAUAAGGUCAGCAUCGACAGGCUGUUACAUGCAAGUUAGAAGUGGUACAAGUUAAGCACAUUAACUUACAAAUUAAAUGCUCUUAUAAUCCAAAACUUUAAGAGCAUUUUUACCAUAUCUCUUAUAAUAUCAAUGAUCCUUUAAAUAAUAAAUAUAAUAGAUGCAAC
rnacentral:lncRNA from 1 species